UUUUUGAUGUGCCAUCGCGGUAAGUUUCAUAUGUGAUGAGAUGUCAUGAGCACAUUUAUGUUUCAGAGACAAGAGUCCCGGCUGUGGUUUUCGAGAGGAGGACAGAGUGGUGAAAGCUGUAGAAGAAGGAAUCGCAAUGAGGGCCAUUUCUUGAAGAACCUUCAUCGAGCUACAAAUCAUAUUAUGGGGAGCAAGACAAAGUAAGUCAUUGCGGAGACUCGCACUCUUCCUCCAGCAGUGAAGAGCAUGAUUCGUACAGUCCAAAGCAUGAACAAUCUCGUCGAAGACCAUCUCCAUUUCGCAAACGGAUGCGCACAGACUCACACACAUCAGCGGUGCACCAUGUAAGGCAAGAGCCUUGUCCUUCAAGUGAUCCGCAAGGAUCAACUUUGAUUAAGUAUUUAACAGAAAAACUAUCGGAAAAGGAGACUGAAGUUGUCGCUCUGCAUCGCAUGAAUGAGCGGCUAAAAAUUGAGAAAGCGGACCUAGAGAAAUACAUUUUAAUCCCGGCAAUCCGCAGUAGAAUUGAAGAGUUGGAACGGAUGUUUCUGCCACCCACUAUGCGAAAAUUGAAGCGUAAGGAAAAAUGGAAUUGUAUUAUGUUUGGAAACGCUAAAAAUUUAAGAUUUGUUGAUAUGAUAAUGUCCCUCCGAGGAAGAAUCCUCCCACAAUUACACAAGGAGUUUGUGCUUAUGAUUACUAAGCUAUAUGGUGAUUUUAGUGAUAUAGCUGCCCGCAAGAUAAAAUACCCUACAGUACAUAAUGAAAAUCUGUAAUAGAAACGCUCAUUUAUGUUGAUAUUGAGCCUAACAAAACAAACGUCUCAGCAAUUGCGGCUCUCUUAGCACCACUAUGAAUUUUUUGUGUGUUUAAUUUAAUUUAUUUUUUUAAAAUAAUAGUAAAGUAUUUUAUUAACUUGUUUGAGAACAUUAAAAUUAUCAUAAUCGUAUAAGGUGAAUGUACCGGUAAUAGACACCCAUAAGACAAUUUUGACUUAUUUUUGCCCGUAACUUUUGAUCAACCUGACCAAAUUUGUUGAUCUUGGUCCUAAAUGAAAGCUAAAGAUUCAAUAUUUCAAGUUCUAAAAUCACAUUAAACUUUAAGAGCAACUGAAAUCCUACAUUCAUCAUACAUAGGGUGUUCAAAAAGUAAUGCACGUUUCCGUUUUUUGAGUGAACGGAAACAGCCAUCAAUUUCCGAUUUGCAUGUGCUUAAAGUAGACGUAAAUACCAAUAAAAAAAAGACCAAGAACAGCUCUGUGGCUUAAAAAUUGACUGAGUGACAGGGUUUUGAAAAUGAUAUGUCGAGGGACACCCUUCAGGAUUUUUAGCUACAAGUAUGUUUGUCAAGAAAAAUCGUUAAAUGAGAAUUGAGUGUUUUUAUUUAAAAAACUUACAAAAUCUUGCAGAAAUUGACGAACUUCAAGCUUCUUCAUCGGAUGACAUGGCUAACUCAUUAUUCGGCUGUUUUUCGAAGUAUUCUCCACCGCUUUGAACACAAAGCUUCAGCCGUUCUGCGUGAAUUAAAAUCGAUAUUUAUAUCUGGAACUCGGGAGAAUAUAUUCUUUUCCCCCAGAAAAUCCUGAAGAAGUGGGAGAAAACUUGGAUUUCUCAUCAGGGAAGGAGCUCCUGAAAUCAGGGAAAAAUCAGGGGAUGAGCUUGGUCAAGAAACGAGACACCAUGCUGUAGGCAUAAGCAAAAGCUACAAAGAAAAGUGGGAAGGUGGCCACCGAUAUUUUUUUAAAAGAAAUUUACAGGACUUCAAUUCUGCAAUUUAACAUGGCACAUAUCUAAAAGUUUAAAGAAAAGUACUCGGUCAAAACUUUUCUGGAAAAUAAAUAUUUUGGCAGAGAAAAUUUGGCAACUCUCUAAUACUCAUAAGGCGUUUUCUUCAGCAUAGGGUAGUUAGCAUAGGCGUUUUUCUUUCAAUAGGAUAGAUGAGGGUGAUAAAAAGUAACAAAACCAGCAGUUUGAUAAAAGACUAACUAUAUUUAAAACAGACAAGAUACAAACUUUAUGAAAGGGGGGAAAAAGGAAAUAGGUAAGCAUGAAAUUAAUGAAAAUGACAGUGAUUCUGCUGUUUGCUGCAAAAACGCCAUGACUCCAUUCAAAUGUUAUAAUUAUUCUCAACAAACGUUCUAUCGUACAAAAAGCGAGAAAUAUUUAUCUUGUAAAUUCUUAAGGUGAUCGUCAUAUACCAUUGAAUAUACAUAUUGAAAAAUGAAACAUGAUUUUGAUCAAAGAUUUUGCACAGACGAGCCAGAAGGAUAAAUGCAAAAUCUGAAAUGAAGUUACAGCGUAUACUAUGGAUGGUAGGAUUUGCGUACAAAGUGACAGUUGCAAGAAUUACUUUCAAAAAGAAAAUUUUUGAUUAAGUCAAAGAUGAUGCGGAAAAAAUAAUAUUGACAAAAUCUUGGCAGGUAUUACAACCAGGGUGAACAAUGCUUAGUUGAUGGGAAUAACAAUUUCAGAGAUUAUUAACUGAAACACUUUUCAAUUUUUCCUCUAAAAUUAAUUUCUUAGGUUCCUUUUUCAGUUUCAAGUCUUCAAUUCUUCCAAACCAUUCAGUUCAUCCACAUUAAUUUUAAUUACUAGUGUGCAGCUGAUAGCUAUAUAGGUUAGAGUCAGCCAAUCAUGCAAAGGCUUGCUGUCUCGCCACCCGCGACGUCAGCAAGUCUAUAUAAGCAUGCGCUGCUCCUAAGCAUGCGCUGCUCCUAAAACUACGUCUUUUAACAUUUCUCGGACCAGUGAAACACAUCACUUUUUAAGAGGUCUUUUCCUCCACUUUUCUGACCAGUGUCUUCUAUGUGCAUUUUGUGAAACUUCGACAUUUCUUUUCUUUUGUGCAACAAUCUCAUUUAUUCUCUCUCGGAUAUUUUUGUGAGCCAAGGAUACGAUUUAUUGUGUUUUGGAUAUUUGUGCAUCACCAACUCGCUCUAUUCAUUUAAUACAGUGCAAAACUUUCAUCUUGAACUUUAUCUCUUUUUAUUUCAUUCUGCGUCUCCGUUUAAGUAUCCCAUGUCCAGGGGCGGAACCAGCAAUUUGCAACAACAGAUUCCCUCCAUUUAAACCUAUGUUAAAUAAUCGAUUCUUGGGGGGGCACCUGGCCCCCUCAAGAAUCUAUACAUUUCCAUAGGUUUAAAUGAAUAAUAGACAAUGUUGCCAAUUUGCUGGAUCCGCCGAUGCCCAUGUCAUCAUAGUUUGUUGGCUCUAUUAUAAAAGGUGACUGGUGCCGAAACGGACAUUUGAAUAUCACUCCCUCUCAUGCACUUGCAAAAUAGUGCAUAAAAACACUCUUAUUUGUCAAAACGCGCUUUACUUAUUACAUUAACAAGAGAGGCAAAUGCAUUCAUUACCACAGAAUCUGCUGGCGCUCUAAAUGCCUCCGUUUUUCGACAAACUGACACUAUUUUCUUAUUUGAUUAAUUUCAAAACCAAA
rnacentral:lncRNA from 1 species